rnacentral:rRNA from 1 species
CAAUAGCGUAUAUUAAAGUUGUUGCGGUAAAAGAGCUCGUAGUUGGAUUUCUGCUAGUUGUGUCCGGUCCAUACCAUGUAUGCGUAUCUGGUUUCACAGUUGGCAUCCUCUCGGAGCCCGUUCCUGUGCUUGAUUGCAUGGGUCGGUGUCCGAGACUUUUACUUUGAGGAAAUUAGAGUGUUCACGGCAGGCUAUCGCCCGAAUACAUUAGCAUGGAAUAAUAACAUAGGAUCUCGAUCCUAUUUUGUUGGUUUCUAGGAUUGAAAUAAUGAUUAAUAGGGACAAUUGGGGGCAUUCGUAUCAACACGUCAGAGGUGGAAUUCUUGGAUUGUGUUGCGACGAACUACUGCGAAAGCAUUUGCCAAGGAUGUUUUCAUUGAUCAAGAACGAAAGUAAGGGGAUCGG